rnacentral:lncRNA from 1 species
GGAAGGAAUCCGUGCUGCGGAAAAUCAGAUACUUUCAACAGCAGAGUCGACAUUACCCAGAUUCACUUUGGACGUGUGAAGGAGGCAGCAACCACGUGGAACUCAUGUCUCGAACACAGUGAGGUCUUCACACCUCAGCGCUGGGCAUCAAGAGGCAGCCUUCACGUGAUGCUGCCCUACGAGGCCAGCAAGGGCUCACGGGAAAUGAAAACCACAGCAGCCGGCACCCAGUCCCAGCAGCAGACAGGAGUAGGUUAAUCCACACCAUGGACACUGUCUAUGCAAAGCGGAUAUUUGGUCCCAGACAGCUCAACCCUGGGCUAUUACCCAUCCUUAAAGCUGACACUGGCAUAGCACAUGGGUAUGUAACACUUAACGUUUGCUGCAACCCUUCAGGAAGGAUGUCCUGAAAAGCUGCACACCCCCCGGCGUCAGCCUUCUGACAUCGCAUGAGGAGGGGCUAAACGACAUUUGGAGACCAUGUGUGCUGAUGUGGUUUGGAUGUGUGUCCCUCCAAAACGUAUGUGAAAUGUGAUCCCCAGUGUUGGAGGGGAGGCCUGGUGGGAGGUACUGGAUCACAGAAGUGAAUCAAUCAUGAACGGUUCAGCACCAACCCCUUGGUAUGAGUUAGUUCUCACUCAGUCAGUUCACCUGAGCUCUGGGUGUUUAAACGUCUGGGAACCCCCUCCUCUCCUGCUCCCACUCUUGCCAUGUGAUGUGUUGGCCCCCUUCACCCACCACCACAAUUGGAAGCUUCCUGAGGCCUCACCAGAAGCAGAUGCCAGCACCAUACUUCCUGUAGAGCCUGCAGAACUGUGAGCCAAUUUAACCUCUUUUCCUUAUAAAUUAUGCAGCCUCAGGUAUUUCUUUACAGCAAUGCAAUAACAGACUCAUGCAUGGAUCAUCAAGAAGGUGGAUUUCCAUGUUU